ensembl:snRNA U6 U6 spliceosomal RNA
CUUUUCUCUCCAUUAAAAAAAAUGGCAAAGGUGGAACAUUACAGAGAAGAUAACCAUGGCCUCACUCAAGUAUGAAAUGUGAAUGUGAUGUGCUUUUUUUUUUC